AUGCCUCAAAUUAUUUUUUAUCAUGGGGCAUAUAUAUCCAUAUGCCAUCAUUGUACAUGCGCUGAGGCGAGGCACGCUUGGUUUACGUGCUCCGUCUCCGUCCGGAACGUCCAUCGCCGCCGCUUCCUCGUCGUGGCCGCCGCGUGCGGGCUGGAAAGGGACGGCCAGCUUUUCCGACGCCUCCCUGACGUGUCAGCCCAGCCCCGAACCACCACACGCGUCCAUCCCCAUCCGCUGCUCCCCGCAAGCCAUCCGCCCGAUCCACGUGAGCCCGCCGCGUCCAUCCCCCCGCGCCCCACCACCCACCGGCCCAUGCGCCCGUUCCACGGACCCAACCCCCGCCCCACGACAAGGACACGCCGCGAGGCCGUGAGGCAUGACUGGCAGGUGGUCCCGCCUUAA
rnacentral:rRNA from 1 species